rnacentral:tRNA from 1 species
GCCUGGGUGGCUCAGCGGUUGAGCCUCUGCCUUUGGCUCAGGGCGUGAUCCUGGAGUCCUGGGAUCGAGUCCCACCUCAGGCU